GUAGACCCGAUUACAAUUUUGGACAUUAAAACAGAUUUGGACUCGUAUAUGUGUCAAUUUUUGGUUGGUAGAGAGUAUGAAGAAGAAUUUCGGCUCGUGUUUUAUCAGAGAAAAGAAGAAUUUUAUACAACUCCAAAGAAAAGCAUCAAUGGUGGAAGAAGCUUGCUUGUGAGAUUAUAUUCAACGUCGAGUGAAGAAGCAGUGAACCAUAAAUCGAAGAGACAGAGAGAGCAAGCGAGAGUGAGAGAAAGAGAUACGUCAUACGUGAUUGUUUUUGUGUGUGUGUUUUGGCUUUUUGGCUUUCUUCGCCGAUUUCAAGAACGGCGUGAAUCGACUUUUCUCCAGAUCUCAUCUUUUCAGUGUUUGAUUCUCUCAAAAUCUGCAGGCGAAUCUAGAUUUGUCAUAUCUCGUUUUCGUUUGCACGAGAUUUAUAUCUGAUAGUGUCGGUGUUCAACUUUUCUCAAUUCAAAUGGAGAAACCGGAGAGCGAGAAGAAACGGCGGUGUCUGAUGUCGGUGCAUGGGCUAUGAAUGUAAUCAGCUCCGUUGGAAUCAUCAUGGCUAAUAAACAGCUCAUGUCGUCCUCUGGUUUCGGUUUUGGCUUUGACUGAUUGGCUAGCAUGAGCAUGAAGAUGUGAGAUGCAAAUAUCACCUUGUCAAGCAUAGUUUGUGUCUCCAAUUUUGUAAAAUUUUUUGACACAUUUUUCAAACAUUUAGUUUUUAGACAAUCCAUGUAUGGAUCCUAUCAUUGGACAAUAUUAACAAUUAAUCUCUUUCAAAAGUCUAAAUUGUAGAUUUUCUAUUAUAUAAAUUAUAAAGCUUGUUUGGAUA